AUGUCCAGAAAGGAAAAAAUAUAUAUUUCUUACGAUACAAUGUGAAAGUUCGAACUUUGUUUGGUAGUUACCAAGGCAACCGAGUUUGUUCGCACAUAUUACUAGCUUCGUUAUCAAUUUUUAUUAACGCCUAAAUAAUACAUGUUACACUUUAAAAGAGCAAGAUAUAUCAGGAAUACUUGAUAAAUUUUCUGCCUAAUUUGUCUGCUUAACGUUGUAAUUCUGAUCUUCGUAAGAAAAAAAGGAAAAAUUCAUUUUGACUAAAUCAUGAUGUGCCGAGUAUUGUCACCUUCGGCGAUAGUCCUCCGAUUCUAUCCAUUUUGUAUGAACGGUAAUACGUGCCGUGGAAUUACUAAAUUUCCGGUAUUGUCGAAUGUGGAAAAUCAAAGAUGUAUAGAUAUAAAUACCAAUGAAGUUAUAUCGACACGUAUGGCUCAAUCUCACGCAGCGUCAGCCGUUAGCGAAACUUUAAAUCGCGAUGACACGCUACCUUUGAUGGAGUCAACGAGCGCGGAAGUGAUGUCGGAAACUUUUGAAAUACCGAGUAAAUUUUUGCGACCAACCAUCGAAGAUAGAGCUCCGUUAUCCUUCGAUCAGAUACCAGGUCCCAUGAUAAUGAAGCUUUGGGAAAAAUAUUGGAAAUACGUGCCGAUUUUCGGUACGCAACUGUUUUCCAGUCUGCUAAACAACAGAUUCAGCCAGGGACGAUUAAGUUGGAAUCGCAACAUUACGCCGGUUAAAUAUCUCUUUAAUAGAUACGGUUGUAUCGUAAGACUCAGUGGUCCAUUAUCCGGUGAUAUCGUCAUGAUUCAUAGGCCAGAACAUAUAGAAGAAGUUUUCAAACAAGAAGGCAAUACUCCCAUUCGUAGUGGUAUCGACGUUCUCGAGCACUAUCGUCUUCACUAUCGGAAAUAUCGUCUCGCAGGUGCUUUUUCAAUGCAAAGUUCGGAAUGGUUAGAAUUGAAAGAAAAAGUACACAAACCGUUCAAUAAGAUAGAUCCAAAGUUUUUCAGAAAGCUUGAAAUAGUUUCCGAAGAUUUCAUAGGUCAAAUACGAAAAAUACGUAAUAGACAGGACGAAGUCCCUGAUAAUUUCAACGAAGACAUUGCUCGCUGGGGUUCGGAAUGUUUCUUCACCCUUAUAUUCGAUAAGAAGCUUGGAUUUCUCGAUUCAACAGGACAGAACCCUACAUCGGAGCCAGCAAUAUUCAUCGAUGCGCUUACGACCGCUCACAAGUAUUUGAGCCGUUGCGAAACUGGUUUUCAAGUAUGGAGAUUCUUUGAUACUCCCUUUUCUAAACGGCUUUUCUCGGCGUGCGAUGUUAUCGAUGGUAUUAUAGGUAAAUACAUUCGUCAAGCACAAAAUAUGUUUCGAACCCGAUCGCCGUUGUCUUGUUCCGAGGAAACUUCAUCUGUUCUAGAAAAGUUGUUGUUAGCUCAACGUCUUCAUCCCGAUGAUGUUUCCACCUUAUUGAUGGACAUGGCAAUUUUGGGAGUUCAAGCGAUGACAAGUUGCGAAGCGUUUCUUUUAUACUUCUUGGCAAAGAGUCCCCGAGUUCAGAAAAAAUUAUACGAAGAGAUCGUUUCUGUUAUUCCUAACGCGGAAUCUUCGAUAACCGAAACUAAUUUGCAAGACAUGCCGUAUUUAAAAGCUUGCUUGAAAGAAAGUCUGAGAUUGCGACCUGCUUUUCCAUACAUUACCAGACUAUUACCAAAUUCGAUAUGUCUCCAUGGAUAUACAGUACCAAAAGGGACUUUCGUAAUAAUGGCCAGUCAAAUAACAUCGCAACGCGAAGAAAAUUUCGAAGAUCCGGAGAAAUUUCGACCGGAAAGAUGGUUAACGAAUCGAGUGGACGAUGAUUUUCAAGAAUAUAGUUAUUUACCAUUUGGACAUGGCGCACGAUCUUGCCUGGGAAGACAUAUGGCUGAAAUAAAAAUGGCAUUGCUUACGGCAAAGUUGGUCCGGGAGUUCAAAAUUGAGUAUAAUUACGCCGAUAUUGGAACCAGUUUUUACAUGAUGAAUGUACCUGAUAAACCUCUUCGUUUUCGAUUUAUCGAUAGAGAUUGAAGCAACGAUUAUUACUUACAACGAUAUACUUGGAUAUGACAAAAUAAUUUUGUUAUAAAAUUUUUUCUACGAGUUAAGGAAUAUGAAUUAUACAGGAAAUAACAAAAGCACGAUUUAGGAGAUACCGAUUUCACUAUGCUUACAGCCGAUGAAACGAUGAUAUACGAUAGUUUUAUAGAUGUUACGGAACGUUUACGGUGGAUAAUUUGAGAAAUCAUUCAGUUGCUCGAUGAUAAUAAUGCAAUCUAUCAUAAUCACGAAAUACUGAAAAAUUUCAUUUUAAAUAAAUUAUUCAUUAAUAAUUGAUAUAAACCAAAGCAAGAUUGCAAUUUAAAAUCUGUUAAGAUUACUGACCUUGUAAACGAAGUGAUGGCCAAAAUCAAAUAGACCCAGCCCGGAAAGCCUUA